rnacentral:rRNA from 1 species
AGAAUCAACGCUGGCGGCGUGCCUAACACAUGCAAGUCGAACGAGAAAGUGGAGCAAUCCAUGAGUACAGUGGCGUACGGGUGAGUAACACGUGACUAACCUACCCUCGAGUGGGGAAUAACCUCGGGAAACCGGGGCUAAUACCGCAUAAUAUCUUCGGAUCAAAUGCGUAAGCAGCUUGAGGAGGGGGUCGCGGCCGAUUAGCUAGUUGGCGGGGUAAUGGCCCACCAAGGCAAUGAUCGGUAGCCGGCCUGAGAGGGCGCACGGCCACACUGGAACUGAAACACGGUCCAGACUCCUACGGGAGGCAGCAGUGGGGAAUUUUGCGCAAUGGGGGAAACCCUGACGCAGCAACGCCGCGUGGAGGAUGAAGCCCCUUGGGGUGUAAACUCCUUUCGAUCGGGACGAUUAUGACGGUACCGGAUGAAGAAGCACCGGCUAACUCUGCGCCAGCAGCCGC